UACGAAGGGGGCUAGGCGUUGCUCGGAAUCACUGGGCGUAAAGGGUGCGAGUAGGCGGGUUUUUAAGUCAGGGGUGAAAUCCUGGAGCUCAACUCCAGAACUGCCUUUGAUACUGAAGAUCUUGAGUCCGGGAGAGGUGAGUGGAACUGCGAGUGUAGAGGUGAAAUUCGUAGAUAUUCGCAAGAACACCAGUGGCGAAGGCGGCUCACUGGCCCGGUACUGACGCUGAGGUGCGAAAGCGUGGGGAGCAAACAGG
rnacentral:rRNA from 1 species